GCCGCGCCGUUAACAAGAGUCUCACUCUGCUGUCCAGGCUGGAGUGCAAUGGUGCGAUCUCGGCUUAUUGUAACCUCUGCCUUGGAGUUCAAGCAGUCCUCCUGCCUUAGCCUCCUAAGUAGCUGAGAUUACAGCUCCAGCUACCAUGCGGUGACCACGGGCCCGGGUGCUUCUUGCUGUGAUGAAUGAGCCACAGGGACCAGGUCUGCAUGCUCUGCUGCGCAUUGCUUAACCCCGACAGCUCCUUCUCCAGCGCCGCCUCAGAGAAGACUGACAUCCCUUCCACCCCACAUUCACGCCGUCCCACACUGGGGUGACAGGAGGAGAGUUAAGUUGCCCUCUCGCAGCCUCGCCCGCUCAACUCACCCUUUCCACACCCUCACUACCACCCUGCUUGCUUGCUGCAGCUUCCUGGACUCAAGCAAUCCUCCGGCCUCAGCCUCCUGAGUAGCUGGGACUACAGACAUGCACCACCACACUCGGCUAAUUUUUUUGUAUUUUUUUGUAGAAAUGGGGUCUCACCAUGUUGCCCAGGCUGGUCUGGAACUCCUGGGCUCAAGUGAUGAUCCUGCCUUGGCCUCCCAAAAUGCUGGGAUUACAGGCGUGAGCCACCGCGCCCGGCCGGCCACUAUUUAUUGAUCCCUCGAUAUGUGCCAAAUGCUGCUCUAAGAGCUUUGCAUAUAUUAAGCUACUAAAUCUACCAACCAUGCCACACAAUGUCAACAGCUCCGUGUUAGAGAUGGGAGAACUGAGGCACAGAGAGGGCAAGCCUCUUGCCUAAGAGCACAGCACGUGAUUUUUGUAAGUGACAAACAGAAUUUAACCUACAUAGUCAGGCUCCAGAGUUUAGUUUGUAAUAAUUGCAAUACACUGUCUCCUACUGAAUUUGCUGAUAGAGCUACUAUCAGCUAGUAGCUACUAUCAGAUAGAGCUACUAAGAGCUAGUAAAUUAAGGAAAUCAAAGUUUUAAUUAAUAGAUAACACCAGGUAAAAGGAGGAACAUAGAAAAAUGACUAAAUAUGAGAGCAGGGGAAGGGUUCCCAAAUUGGGCAAUAUGCUUUCUAUACCUGUUUCCCCACUUGUGAAAUAAACUACUCCACCUAGCAAACUCACACUUAGGCACCUCACUGAGAAAAAAGUAUUUCACGUGCAUACAUGAUUUAAAAAGUUAAGGGCCAGGUGUGGUGCCUCAUGCCUCUAAUCACAGUACUUGGGGGGCAGAGGCAGGAGGACCGUUUGAAUCCAGGAGUUGAAGACCAUCCUGGGCAAUAUAACAAGACGCAGUCGAAGAGAAGAGGAAGAGAAGAGAAGAGAAGGAAAGAAAUUCUGGAAGGAAGGAAGAAAGAAAAAAAAGAAGAAAAAGAAGGAAGAAAGAAAGGAAAGAAAGAAAGAAAAGAAAAGAAAGAAGAAAAAGAAGGAAGAAAGGAAAGAAAGAAAAGAAAAGAAAGAAGAAAAGAACAGAACAGCAGGUUCUUGCCUUCUCUAGAAUCCCAAGCCCUCUAUGGGAAGUAAACACUCCGACCCCUUCUGUUUCUCCUGUUAUUAUCUCUGUAUUCCCAAAUGAUAAGCUAUCACGCUUUCUGAUUUAUCAGUAUCAUAUAUUAUCUUUUGAUUUGCUGGCCUGAUAGGUAAGGACUUAGCUCUCCAAAACUCUCUCCCACAUUUCUCCUUUGCCCCACAAAAUUGUACCGGAAUUCUCUAUUAAAUCACUCUAAAUUUCUAGGACAAUGCAAAUUUUGCUCACUGCUGAACUAAGAAGCCCACUAAACCACAAUUCCUUUCUUUGUUCUUGGAAUUAGUAAUCGCCUUUUUUUUCUUAUCCUGGUUUUCCAUCAAUUUGUCAUUAUUUUUCCCCUAAUGUCCAACAUCUUUGUCUAUCGCUGCAUACAUUUAAACAUACCCAUUCCACUUUCUUCCUCAUGGUCUCCUUCCUAACCCCAUGCUGUCAUCGGGACUGGGUGCUCUCUAAGGAUGCGUUGUGCCUUGCAUGCUGGAGUCCCAUUUCCCAUGUGGCUGUUAGCACGUGAAGAGAUGGUAGUGAUGUUCACCAUGAUAAUGCUGCUGGUUUAUUGUGGAAGAUCUCAGCAGAAGUCACUGUACGUCAUUUUGUUAUCUCUCUCCUUUUUUUAAAAAAAAUGUCUGUACCCAUCCAUCCACUAACUGUAUGUCAUUUAUUGAAAGUGUAUUCCAUAUGCAUAAAUUGAGUUCACAUAUGUAAUCAGAUAGAAUUCAGAAACAGGGAUUUCAGAAACCUAGGUCCUAGGUUGUGCAAUUGCUACUAUUCAAGUAUCCUUUUCUGGAUCUCAAUUCAAAUAACCCAACUCUAAAGGAUACAUUUAUGGGACAGUUGGAGGAGUUUAAGCAGAAUAUUUGGUAUAAAAUUGCUACAAAAUUAUUAGCGUUUCAGGUAUGAUAUAGUAUUGUAGUUAUAUGUAAAAUUUUUCUUAACUUUUGGAGAUAGUUACUGGAAGAUUUCUAUAUCAAGUGAUGUCUGUGAUUUGCUUCAAAAUAAUCCUUUGUGGGGGUGAGGGAGCAAGUUGAAAUAGGGUAGGCUGAGCAUCUCAAAACUGAAAAUCGAAAAUCUGAAAAGCUCCAAAAUUCAAAACGUUUUUGUUUUGAGACAGAGUCCACUCUGUCGCCCAGGCUGGAGUGCAGUGGCACAAUCUCAGCUCACUGCAACCUCUGCCUCCCAGGUUCAAGUGAUUCUCCUUCCUCAGCCUCCCAAGUAGCUGGGAUUACAGGCACCUGCCACCACGCCUGGCUAAUUUUUGUAUUUUUAGUAGAGACGGGGUUUUGCCAUGUUGGCCAGGCUGGUCUUGAACUCCUGACUUCAGGUGAUCCGCUUGCCUCGGCCUCCCAAAGUGCUGGGAUUACAGCCAUGAGCCACCAUGCCUGGCCCAAAAUGUUUUGAGUGCUAACCGGACACUUAAAGGAAAUGCUUGUUUUGCAGCACUCAGAUUAGAGAGUUUUGGAGUUGGAAUGCUCAACCUGUAAACAUAAAGCAAAUAUUCCAAAAUGUGAAAUCUGAAACACUUCUUGUCCUAAGCAUUUUGGAUAAAGGAUUCUGAACCUGUAUAAGAAACAAGAUUGGCUAUAUGUUGAUAAUUGCUCAAGUUGGGUGAUGGGAGUUCAUUAUACCACUCUCUCUAUGUUUGCAUGUGUUUAAAACAUUCCAGAACAAUUUGUUUUUAAAUGGUUUUCAGGGUAGGUCAGGAAAAAAAAUAAAUCUGAUAAUUGUAGGAGACAGAAUUUAAAACUCAUCUUCUAGCAAGGAUAUAUUUCUUUUUUAAUUUACUUAAUGAACUUACAAUAGACUUAGUUAUUUUAGUUUCUCUACCGUUACUUAAAUUACAAAUCUGAGGCCA
rnacentral:lncRNA from 1 species